AUUGAACGCUAGCGGCAGGCUUAAUACAUGCAAGUCGAGGGGUCAGCAAUGACACCGGCGGACGGGUGCGUAACGCGUAUGCAACCUACCUACAUCAGGGGGAUAGCCCUAGGAAACUGGGAUUAACACCGCAUAAUAGUAUUGAUGGCAUCAUUGAUAUUUGAAAUAUUUAUAGGAUGUAGAUGGGCAUGCGUAAGAUUAGCUAGUUGGUAAGGUAACGGCUUACCAAGGCUACGAUCUUUAGGGGCUCUGAGAGGAGUAUCCCCCACACUGGCACUGAGAUACGGGCCAGACUCCUACGGGAGGCAGCAGUAGGGAAUAUUGGGCAAUGGAGGCAACUCUGACCCAGCCAUGCCGCGUGCAGGAAGACGGCCCUCUGGGUUGUAAACUGCUUUUGAAUGGGAAGAAUGUGAUGUUUGCGAGCAUUAAUGACGGUACCAUUAGAAUAAGCCACGGCUAACUACGUGCCAGCAGCCGCAGUAAUAC
rnacentral:rRNA from 1 species